AGAGUUUGAUCCUGGCUCAGGAUGAACGCUAGCUACAGGCUUAACACAUGCAAGUCGAGGGGUAGCAGGGUAGCAAUACCGCUGACGACCGGCGCACGGGUGAGUAACACGUAUCCAACCUUCCCAUAACUCAGGGAUAGCCUUUCGAAAGAAAGAUUAAUACCUGAUAGUACUUUUUCAAGGCAUCUUGAGAAAGUUAAAGAUUUAUUGGUUAUGGAUGGGGAUGCGUUCCAUUAGAUAGUUGGUGAGGUAACGGCUCACCAAGUCUUCGAUGGAUAGGGGUUCUGAGAGGAAGGUCCCCCACAUUGGUACUGAGACACGGACCAAACUCCUACGGGAGGCAGCAGUGAGGAAUAUUGGUCAAUGGGCGAGAGCCUGAACCAGCCAAGUAGCGUGAAGGGUGAAAACGGUCCUAUGGAUUGUAAACUUCUUUUAUAGUAGAAUAAAGUGAUCCACGUGUGGAUUUUUGUAUGUAUACUAUGAAUAAGGAUCGGCUAACUCCGUGCCAGCAGCUGC
rnacentral:rRNA from 1 species